rnacentral:lncRNA from 1 species
GGCAGAAGUCGGUCAUGGGAGCAAAGCGUUAGUAGCCAUCCUCACAUGCUCUGCACAUGCCUGCAGUGAAGGAGUUGCUGACCUCACAGGAGUUCAGAGAGGUUGCUGUGACUUGUCCCAGAUCACACAGCUAGCAGGGGGCAGCGCGGAAAUACAAACAGCUUGUCCGACUCCAGAUCGCGCUGGUUGCUGAUGGUGAUGGAGCUCCUGCCAAGCACGUCCACCAUCACUUUAGAAGCCUCGCCCUAGUCCUGCAGGCAAGUGCUGCUCUUAGCUUCACUUCACAGAUGAGGAGACUGAGACGCGGUGGGCACUGACCAACAGCUUCUCCAUGGCCCUGGGCGGAAUGGGAUGGGCAGGGGCCCCAGGGCAGGGCCUGGGCAUGAAAGUAGCACCCCACACCCGCUGCUCGCUGGGCGCUGGUUCCUCCCUUCACUGCUCCCCCCGACGGCUGCCUUGCCCUGGGCCUCCUCCCUGCCUGGGCUCCUACAGAGGCAGGACCACCAUUGUCUGUGGCACAGGCCAGUGAUAGUGUUCACGAGCUCCCUCAUCAGCUCAGCAGGAAAGGUGGCCUCAAGAGGGGUUAGGACUUUUGUCCCCUGAAGCUCCCGGAAUGCCGGGAAUGGGGAAUUCGGGUGUGGGCCUGGGAGGGACCUGGGCGUCCCACCCCGCCAGCUGACUGUGUCCCCUGGGGCUCCUCCUCCCACGGGCUUGCUCCAUCUGCAGAAAGGCCACCAGCUCUUCAGGCGGGGACGGGGGUAAUGGCCUGAGUGUUCCCCAGCCCCGGUUCCCCAUUUGUCAAGAUCAUUUUGCAUUUUGCAGAGGAACAAACUUCCAGUGAGAAAUGUCCUGGGGAAGGCAGUGAGUUUGGGGAGAGGAAGAGAAAUGGUUCUGAGGAAGAAUACAUGAGCCAAGCAGGAGGCAGGUGGGCAGUUUGCAGUAGGCAGACCCUCGGGGACCAGAGAAGGCUCAGUCCUCAACACCGCGGGGACGACCGUGUGAGCCUGCAAAGUAAGGACCAGAAAGGCACUAGCGGGGCCCCCUCACUGGGGACUGGGGACCAGAUGAUACAGUGACAGAGAAUAAUUAACAGCUGAGCAUCACGCGUUUUAACACCCAAUUAAGCAUCACGAGCUCAUUAUCCUGUUUCUCCAUCCAACACAUAAAAGGGACUCGGCUGGGUCAGACCAUCUUGGGCUUGAGCAGGAAGUGUCAUAGUUUGCAUCUGAGAAAUGGCGAUCCAAGGGGCACAUUUGAGAAUUGGCUCAGCAAUUCAGGAAAACAAAAGCCUUCGAUCCUCCAAGCGUCUAGUCCAGUUUGUCACUUCCUAGAAAGUUCCAAAGUGAGCACGAUGGCUCUGAAUUAAGGGUCCUGUAUGCCUAAUUAAAUGUCCUGCUAAGUUAUAGCUAGUCUUGCUCCAUCUGGAAACAGGCAGGUGACACAUCCCACCUGGUCCAGCCCAUUUGCAGAGACCAAAGGGUUUUUUUUCUGGUGUUUGCUGCCAGGAGACCACUGAAUAGAUGACGCGCUGUGAAUCCUGAGGAAAGACGGUCACAUGUUCCAGGUGAAGCAAACCGCAAAGGAGCGGCAGCCCUCGGGGAGAAGGGUAUCACUUAAAGUACAAGAAUAGAGGUUCGUUGUCCCUUGCUCUCACUCUUUCUGUCCCCAAUGGAGAAAUUCAAAUGCCUUCCCAAAGCCUCCCUUCACUCCUCCAAGCUUUCUCCCCAACAUCCCUGGCUGGCCCGCACCUGCACCUCAACAGAGUUCUCAUGGAACUCAUUAAGCAUCGACCAGGAUGACGCCCUAAAUUAAAUGCACUACUCAUGAGGAAGGAAGCCUUAUUAAUUUUUUGUGCAGUGGAGGACAGAGAGGCACAGAGAAGUUAUGUAACUUGACCAAGGCCACACAGCUAGUGAGGGAUAAGACCAAAAUUCUCGAUCAUUUGCUCUACAUCUCUGACAUCUACCACCUGUUCCCUUUACUUGUGGUUCAUGCACAUUUCCUUUCUGGCAUGUGAACUCCUUGAAGUGAGGACAGACACUUCCAGGUGCCUGGUUGUUGAUCCUCACUAAUACCAGUGCCCUCUGGGUGGUCCUAAUUCUGAAAUUGAUGGGGCCUGUGCCUGAGUCCUGUUUGGAAGCUGCAGUGCCUCCUGGUGCCUGAGAAGCCCACCUUCGGCUCCUGGCAGGCAAAGCUGCAGGCUUCUCAGCCCUCAGCACCUGGUCAGAGGAACUGAACUACCCAAGGUAAGGGGGAGCCGCUCUCUGCAGCCACGUGGCCUCGUGAGGAUCUGAGGGUGCUCUGUGGGAGAGGCUGGCAGCAGGGUUAGAAGCAGGGAGUGGAGAAUGCUUCUGUCCAGGAAGUCUAGGCACAACACAGACCUAUGGCUACUCCUGGGCCCAGCAGUCUAGCCCUGGGCCUGGGGUCAGGAAGGAGCACAGACCAAUGACAGGGGCUGUCUGUGCGCCCCUUCCAGAGUCUGCGGAUGUGGCAGGUGGUUGGAAGUCCCUGCAGAGGGCAGCAGCUUGCUUGCUUGUGCUGCUUGUGCAGGGGGUCUUCUAGGCAUGUGACCUGCAGCCACACAGGGCCCAGCUCCUAGGGGCCAUGCUUGGUUUAAACCCUUAAGACCUAUGAAAUGAGAACAGGCACAAGCCCUGGGCUCAGAGCUGCCCAGGGAGGGAGUCCAUCACCAUCCCUUCCGAGACUCAGGCCGCCGAGGAGGUGGUGCCUCGCGGUGGAGGAGGUGAGCCCCAGCAAGAGGCUGCAGGCGGGGGAAGCUGCAGGCGGGGGAGCGUGUGGUUGUUUCAGGAAAACUCAGUGGCUGUCUGGUUGGAGCAAAGGUCAGGGAGGCUGUCAGUUAUUAAUCAGGUCUGUGGAGUUUGGGGCGAUUGCUACAGAAGUUAUCACUUAGCUUCCUGGGUGGUCACUAGAGCUCAUCCAGUCCCUGCCGGGUGACUCACAGCAGGCUGGCUUCGUGGGCUGCUCCUGUAGAUAAGGGCUCGGUUUCCUGGGCAGGUUGUGGGUCAGAGUCCUGUUCUAUGUGCAGUCCCACCACUGUCCUCGUGGAUCUUCUGUCUCUCUGUCUUGAAGUCCUGGACAGCUAGCCCUGCUCUUCCUUUGACAUGGGACCAGCAGUGUCCUGGCUACUCCGGGUUCACUCUGGGGCUGGUGACCAAGGGAACGCCCCUGAUGCUCUGUGGCUUCAGGAGGCAGCCAGACAGAAAUCAUUUCUCCUGAAGGACUCAGGGCCUCCCGGCCACAUCCCGGUGAAUGUCCCGGAAGGUCUCCCUGACAUGCCCUCGCCUUCACAGGCCGACAGCUGCUCCACGGCACUGGGGCUGUGUUUCCUCCGUCUCGGUGUGGCCAGGUGUGGAGUGGCCGUGAGCGCAGGCUGGGCACAGAGCCAGAGCUCACAGAUUCAGAUCCUGCUCGCGUUUAAUAGGGAAGUUUUGAUCUUACUGUUGAAAUUUUUAGAAUUUUUAAAAAGAUUUGCUAAGCAAAUGUACUGUGCAAAAAGGUUUGUGGGAACAAGGACGGCGCUUAAUCUGUUGAGAGUGAAAUUAUCAAGGACCUAAAGAGUCCCAUGAUCACCCCGAUCACCUCAUAGAUAAAGUCUGGUUUCAAUGCAUUCUUGGCUGCCCAUGAGAGUGACUCUUCAGGCUGUCUACUUGGAAACUCACCAAGACACCCUGACAUGCAGGAGCACCCCCUCGCCCCCUUAUUGGUGGUGGUGGUUGUGUUCCAAGACCCCCCAGGAGAUACCUAGAAUCUCAGACAGUACUGAACUCCAGGUAUAUAUAUAUAUAUGUUGUAGAUGGACACAAUAUCUUUAUUUUGUCUAUUUAUUUUAUGUGGCACUGAGGAUCGAACCCAGUGCCUCACACAUGUGAGGCUCGCACUCAACCACUGAGCUACAACCCCAGCCUGAACUCCAAGUUUGCUGUUUUAACCAUACAUACAUGCCUGUGGUGAAGUUUUAUUAGACACAGGAAGAGAUUUAACAACAACAAGUCAUGUGAGGGAAGUCUCUUUCUAGAACUUUCUAUAAUAUUUUUGGACUGUGGUUAACCUCGGUAACUGGAGCCUUAGAAAGUGCAUCCUCAGAAGAGAGGGACUGUCGCAUUCAAAAGCCAGAAGCCAACUCUCUGGAUGGCUUGCUCCCGAGGGUUCUAGGCACAACACAGACCUAUGGCUACUCCUGGGCCCAGCAGUCUAGGCCUGGGCCUGGGGCCAGGGCUGGGGCUCCUCUGGGCUGUGGUCCCCCCUGUUGCCCACAGGCUUCCUGAGCGACCUCUGCCCAUGGGGAUGCGGGGUGCAUGCAGCAUGAGCACCUUCCCUCCCCUCCUCCAGGCCAGUCCUCUGCCCAGGAUGCACGUCACCCUCCUACUCAGAGGGGCCUCCCAGGAGCCGUCCCUCAGCCCAGGCCCCCAUUGCACCAGAUGCUCAGGGAGCUCGGCCCGGAGGCCACGCAGCCACAGUGCCCUGAGAACCCGACCAGGCCACCCAGCCUCCUGGAGCCUCAGCCUCCCCAUCUUUGACAUGAGGCUGACGAUCCCACCCUAGCAGCGUUCAGGUGGGAGCUGAAGUGGGGCCCCAUCCGCCUUGCCUUCAUGGGGAUCUGCCACCGCCUCUCCGUGUUGCUUGGGUUCAAUUAUUUAUCUUUCUGAUCAAAGCAAAUUUCCCUGUUUAAGUGUCAGGCACCCUUGGUGCUUGCUUGGUUCAGGGCCUUCCUCCUGUUGGUGGGCGGAUGGUGUUUAUUGACCUGUGUGUGCUGUGUGUUGUGUGUCUAUCAACCUGUCUUUGCAUUCCGGGUGUGAAUCCCACCCCCUCAUGGUUGCUGUGGUUUAGCUUAGGUGUCCCCCAAAAGCUCCUGUGUGAGAAAAUGCAAGAAAUUUCAGAGGUGAGCUGGCUGGGCUGUGAGAGUCUUGACCUAACCAGGGUGCUGACCCGCAGGAACGGAUUAUCUGGGUGGUAACUGUGGGCAGGUGGGUGAGCUGGGAAAGGUGGUGCCCUUGGGUCACAUUUUGUCCUUUCUGAGUGGAGCAUGCUCUCUCUCUGCUUCCUGGUGGCCAUGUCCUGAUCCCCUUUACUCCACUGCACCCUUUUGCCAUGAUGGUCUGCCUCACCUUGAGCCCCGAAUGGAGUCGGCCAUCUGUGGAUUGACCCCUCUGAAACCCUGAGCUCCAAGAGAAACCUUUCUGUUUCUAAUUGUUCUUGUCGAGUCUUUUGGUCACAGUGGCCAAAAAGCUGACUGAAACCACGGGGAGUGAUCUUUAUAGUGGGCUGCUGCUGCCUUUGAUUUGCUGGAAUUGUGCUGACCAUCUGAGCAUCUGUGUCGUCAAGGAUAUUGGCCUACAGUUCUCUUUCUUUGUUAUGUCUUUGUCCGGUUUUAGUAUUGGGGGAAUACUUGCUUUGAGCAUGAGUUUGGAGGAAUCCAUUCCUCUUGAGCUUUUUGGAGGAACUUAAGAGGAAUCAGACCAGGCGCAGUGGCACAUGCCUGUAAUCCCAGCAGCUCCAGAGGCUGAGGCAGGAGGAUUGCAAGUUCAAAGCCAGCCUCAGCAAGUUAGUGAGGCCCUAAGUAACUCAGUGAGACCCUGGUUCUAAAUAUAAUGCAAAAAAAAAAAAGUGGGGGGUGCUGGGGAUGUAGCUCAGUAUGCACCCCUGGAUUCACUCUCUAGUACCAAAAAAAAAAAAGAAAAAGAGGCGUUGGUAUUAUCCUUUCUUUGGUGCUUGGUGGAAGUGAGCAUUGAGGUCAUAUGGUCCUGGGCAUUUCUUUGAUAGAAGAUUUUUUAACUGAUCCAAUCUCAUUACAGGUUACUAGUCUGUUCAGACUUCCUGUGUCUUCAUGAUCCCGUCUGGUAGGGUGUACGUGACCAGGGACUGG